rnacentral:rRNA from 1 species
UGGGGAAUUUUGGACAAUGGACCGAAAGUUCUGAUCCAGCCAUGCCGCGUGCGGGAAGAAGGCCUUCGGGUUGUAAAACCGCUUUUGUCAGGGAAGAAAAGCGCUGGGCUAAUACCCCGGCGUCAUGACGGUACCUGAAGAAUAAGCACCGGCUAAACUACGUGCCAGCAGCCGCGGUAAUACGUAGGGUGCAAGCGUUAAUCGGAAUUACUGGGCGUAAAGCGUGCGCAGGCGGCUUUGCAAGACAGAUGUGAAAUCCCCGGGCUCAACCUGGGAACUGCAUUUGUGACUGCAAGGCUAGAGUACGGUAGAGGGGAGUGGAAUUCCGCGUGUAGCAGUGAAAUGCGUAGAUAUGCGGAGGAACACCGAUGGCGAAGGCAGCUCCCUGGACCUGUACUGACGCUCAUGCACGAAAGCGUGGGGAGCAAACAGGAUUAGAUACCCUGGUAGUCCACGCCCUAAACGAUGUCAACUGGUUGUUGGGAGGGUUUCUUCUCAGUAACGUAGCUAACGCGUGAAGUUNAAAGCCUGGGGAGUACGGCCGCAAGGUUG